GCCAUUUCACUUGGAUAUAUGUCACAAUAGGGAUGUUCACAUGGAUACAUCACAAUAGGGAGGAAAAAGUUGUAAUUUCUGUUUAAUGUCGACUUUAACUUUCAGGCUCCAACUGUGCAGCAUACGCCUGAAAGAGAGAACUGCUGAUCUGCAACACCUCGCUCUGGUGGAUUAAAACUGGGUCUUCUAGCCCGUUUGUAUGAGCCUGCCAAUCAAGCAGAGGAUGGCAGCAAAGCCAUAGAAGAAUCACUUUGGGUUCUUCCAAGAAACUUUAAAAAUGUAUCCUUUUAAGAAGAGAGUAUUUUAUCUGCAGUGGCUGGACGUUCCAUUCUAUGGACAUUGUGUUCACCUCUAAUGACCUCCACACUUUACCUCAGCAUGAAAUCAGAUCAGAACUGACAUGAAUUAGAGUGGAGUGACAGACUAUCAGGCUCUCAGGGCUUCUGAGAAAUAUUUGUUCCCAGUGCAUCUGGACUUUUGUCUAAAAUAAAAUAGGAACUUCUUGUCAACUAAAGUACUAUAUUCGUUGCCUUUGGAAACCAGCUGCUACCAGGUUACUAAAUCCCAAUGGAGUGGCUCCCUGCUGGUCGUCACUGCCGUCACCUUGUGCAGCACCAAUGGUGUGAUGGUCUACAGAUAAUAGCACGAAUGGGAGCUAAUACAUCAUCCCAAGUUUCCACAUGGGAUGAGUAGUGCGUCAUGGUUCUUCUAUAAUCAUAAAUAUGUCACUUGUAUUAGUAUUCCUUGGUCCAAAUCUUUUAAAGGUGCACUCUUCAUGUUUUACACAAAUGAAUAGUGCUGAAAAAUUUAAAAUAUAAAAUAAAUACAAAUUAAAAUAAAUGAUUUAAAAUGUAAUGUCAGAUAAUUACAAUACUACUUGCUUUAUCUCAUUAAUCCCCAUAUUGCACAGUUUUGCUUG